GGGUUGUGAGGUUAAGCGACUAAGCGUACACGGUGGAUGCCCUGGCAGUCAGAGGCGAUGAAGGACGUGCUAAUCUGCGAUAAGCGUCGGUAAGGUGAUAUGAACCGUUAUAACCGGCGAUUUCCGAAUGGGGAAACCCAGUGUGUUUCGACACACUAUCAUUAACUGAAUCCAUAGGUUAAUGAGGCGAACCGGGGAACUGAAACAUCUAAGUACCCCGAGGAAAAGAAAUCAACCGAGAUUCCCCCAGUAGCGGCGAGCGAACGGGGAGCAGCCCAGAGCCUGAAUCAGUGUGUGUGUUAGUGGAAGCGUCUGGAAAGGCGCGCGAUACAGGGUGACAGCCCCGUACACAAAAAUGCACAUAUUGUGAGCUCGAUGAGUAGGGCGGGACACGUGGUAUCCUGUCUGAAUAUGGGGGGACCAUCCUCCAAGGCUAAAUACUCCUGACUGACCGAUAGUGAACCAGUACCGUGAGGGAAAGGCGAAAAGAACCCCGGCGAGGGGAGUGAAAAAGAACCUGAAACCGUGUACGUACAAGCAGUGGGAGCACGCUUAGGCGUGUGACUGCGUACCUUUUGUAUAAUGGGUCAGCGACUUAUAUUCUGUAGCAAGGUUAACCGAAUAGGGGAGCCGAAGGGAAACCGAGUCUUAACUGGGCGUUAAGUUGCAGGGUAUAGACCCGAAACCCGGUGAUCUAGCCAUGGGCAGGUUGAAGGUUGGGUAACACUAACUGGAGGACCGAACCGACUAAUGUUGAAAAAUUAGCGGAUGACUUGUGGCUGGGGGUGAAAGGCCAAUCAAACCGGGAGAUAGCUGGUUCUCCCCGAAAGCUAUUUAGGUAGCGCCUCGUGAAUUCAUCUCCGGGGGUAGAGCACUGUUUCGGCAAGGGGGUCAUCCCGACUUACCAACCCGAUGCAAACUGCGAAUACCGGAGAAUGUUAUCACGGGAGACACACGGCGGGUGCUAACGUCCGUCGUGAAGAGGGAAACAACCCAGACCGCCAGCUAAGGUCCCAAAGUCAUGGUUAAGUGGGAAACGAUGUGGGAAGGCCCAGACAGCCAGGAUGUUGGCUUAGAAGCAGCCAUCAUUUAAAGAAAGCGUAAUAGCUCACUGGUCGAGUCGGCCUGCGCGGAAGAUGUAACGGGGCUAAACCAUGCACCGAAGCUGCGGCAGCGACGCUGAUGCGUUGUUGGGUAGGGGAGCGUUCUGUAAGCCUGUGAAGGUGCGCUGUGAGGCAUGCUGGAGGUAUCAGAAGUGCGAAUGCUGACAUAAGUAACGAUAAAGCGGGUGAAAAGCCCGCUCGCCGGAAGACCAAGGGUUCCUGUCCAACGUUAAUCGGGGCAGGGUGAGUCGACCCCUAAGGCGAGGCCGAAAGGCGUAGUCGAUGGGAAACAGGUUAAUAUUCCUGUACUUGGUGUUACUGCGAAGGGGGACGGAGAAGGCUAUGUUGGCCGGGCGACGGUUGUCCCGGUUUAAGCGUGUAGGCUGGUUUUCCAGGCAAAUCCGGAAAAUCAAGGCUGAGGCGUGAUGACGAGGUACUACGGUGCUGAAGCAACAAAUGCCCUGCUUCCAGGAAAAGCCUCUAAGCAUCAGGUAACAUCAAAUCGUACCCCAAACCGACACAGGUGGUCAGGUAGAGAAUACCAAGGCGCUUGAGAGAACUCGGGUGAAGGAACUAGGCAAAAUGGUGCCGUAACUUCGGGAGAAGGCACGCUGAUAUGUAGGUGAAGUCCCUCGCGGAUGGAGCUGAAAUCAGUCGAAGAUACCAGCUGGCUGCAACUGUUUAUUAAAAACACAGCACUGUGCAAACACGAAAGUGGACGUAUACGGUGUGACGCCUGCCCGGUGCCGGAAGGUUAAUUGAUGGGGUCAGCGCAAGCGAAGCUCUUGAUCGAAGCCCCGGUAAACGGCGGCCGUAACUAUAACGGUCCUAAGGUAGCGAAAUUCCUUGUCGGGUAAGUUCCGACCUGCACGAAUGGCGUAAUGAUGGCCAGGCUGUCUCCACCCGAGACUCAGUGAAAUUGAACUCGCUGUGAAGAUGCAGUGUACCCGCGGCAAGACGGAAAGACCCCGUGAACCUUUACUAUAGCUUGACACUGAACAUUGAGCCUUGAUGUGUAGGAUAGGUGGGAGGCUUUGAAGUGUGGACGCCAGUCUGCAUGGAGCCGACCUUGAAAUACCACCCUUUAAUGUUUGAUGUUCUAACGUUGACCCGUAAUCCGGGUUGCGGACAGUGUCUGGUGGGUAGUUUGACUGGGGCGGUCUCCUCCUAAAGAGUAACGGAGGAGCACGAAGGUUGGCUAAUCCUGGUCGGACAUCAGGAGGUUAGUGCAAUGGCAUAAGCCAGCUUGACUGCGAGCGUGACGGCGCGAGCAGGUGCGAAAGCAGGUCAUAGUGAUCCGGUGGUUCUGAAUGGAAGGGCCAUCGCUCAACGGAUAAAAGGUACUCCGGGGAUAACAGGCUGAUACCGCCCAAGAGUUCAUAUCGACGGCGGUGUUUGGCACCUCGAUGUCGGCUCAUCACAUCCUGGGGCUGAAGUAGGUCCCAAGGGUAUGGCUGUUCGCCAUUUAAAGUGGUACGCGAGCUGGGUUUAGAACGUCGUGAGACAGUUCGGUCCCUAUCUGCCGUGGGCGCUGGAGAACUGAGGGGGGCUGCUCCUAGUACGAGAGGACCGGAGUGGACGCAUCACUGGUGUUCGGGUUGUCAUGCCAAUGGCACUGCCCGGUAGCUAAAUGCGGAAGAGAUAAGUGCUGAAAGCAUCUAAGCACGAAACUUGCCCCGAGAUGAGUUCUCCCUGACUCCUUGAGAGUCCUGAAGGAACGUUGAAGACGACGACGUUGAUAGGCCGGGUGUGUAAGCGCAGCGAUGCGUUGAGCUAACCGGUACUAAUGAACCGUGAGGCUUAACCUUACAACGCCGAAGGUGUUU
rnacentral:rRNA from 1 species